AUUGAACGCUGGCGGCGUGCUUAACACAUGCAAGUCGAUCGGUAACAGGUGUAGCAAUACAUGCUGACGAGAGGCGGACGGGUGAGUAAUGCUUGGGAAUCUGCCUAUUAGUGGGGGACAACCCGGGGAAACUCGGGCUAAUACCGCAUACGCUCUACGGAGGAAAGCCGGGGACCGCAAGGCCUGGCGCUAAUAGAUGAGCCCAAGUCGGAUUAGCUAGUUGGUAGGGUAACGGCCUACCAAGGCGACAAUCCGUAGCUGGUCUGAGAGGACGACCAGCCACACCGGAACUGAGACACGGUCCGGACUCCUACGGGAGGCAGCAGUGGGGAAUAUUGGACAAUGGGGGCAACCCUGAUCCAGCGACGCCGCGUGGGUGAAGAAGGCCUGCGGGUUGUAAAGCCCUUUCGGUGGGGAAGAAAGUCUCGACCUAAUACGUCGGGACCUUGACGUAACCCACUAAAGAAGCACCGGCUAACUCUGUGGCAG
rnacentral:rRNA from 1 species